UUUAGAGGAAGUAAAAGUCGUAACAAGGUCUCCGUUGGUGAACCAGCGGAGGGAUCAUUACCGAGUUUACAACUCCCAAACCCCUGUGAACAUACCUAUACGUUGCCUCGGCGGAUCAGCCCGCGCCCUGUAAAACGGGACGGCCCGCCCGAGGACCCUAAACUCUGUUUUUAGUGGAACUUCUGAGUAAAACAAACAAAUAAAUCAAAACUUUCAACAACGGAUCUCUUGGUUCUGGCAUCGAUGAAGAACGCAGCAAAAUGCGAUAAGUAAUGCGAAUUGCAGAAUUCAGUGAAUCAUCGAAUCUUUGAACGCACAUUGCGCCCGCCAGUAUUCUGGCGGGCAUGCCUGUUCGAGCGUCAUUUCAACCCUCAAGCUCAGCUUGGUGUUGGGACUCGCGGUAACCCGCGUUCCCCAAAUCGAUUGGCGGUCACGUCGAGCUUCCAUAGCGUAGUAAUCAUACACCUCGUUACUGGUAAUCGUCGCGGCCACGCCGUAAAACCCCAACUUCUGAAUGUUGACCUCGGAUCAGGUAGGAAUACCCGCUGAACUUAAGCAUAUCAAUAAG
rnacentral:rRNA from 1 species